UGACACCUUUAGUUCUUUCUUAGCCGCAAAGCGCUAGUAUCGCAACAAGCUGCAGCCAUAUUCUUUUUUCUAGUCGAUGGCCAUAUACAUAGACUCUGUGGCAUACUAUUCUCUCGUUAGAGAGUAGUAUGUACCUUGCUCUGUGGUAUAUAUACUGGGAAGCCAUAUUGUUUAUUGUUGUUGUCUCCAAAGGUUAAUAAUUAAUUAUGGGAAUUGUGGUGAUCCCAAUUAAUUCCUGUAAAUAUAGGACUCAGUGCUUUGCCGAAGGCUCAAUUGUUGAACAGACACGUAUGCCAGAAACACUUCGAUAGACAUCAGUUCGACAGUAUGGGGUGGUAUGGGUACCCGACGUACGCAUGGUUAUCUCUACUUGUUUACUGAAAAGGAAAAUACUUCACGGAAUUCCUGAGCUCAUUAGCUGAACAUGAUUUCAGUGAUCACAAUUUUAUUAUGCUUUACAACCAACUUCAGAUCAACAGAAUUCAACAUUCAGAAGAUUCAACAGUAUCCACUCAAAGUACAAUAAUAAUAAUUAGUGCCAAUUUGACAACCAAGUGCAGGUAUUUUAUUAAAAGAAUAAAAGAAAUGUUUAUCAAAGAAAACAAGAAGCAAAGGCUAUUUUCAGAAGGAUCCUCAAAGAUGACUUUUGGUAAAUAUAUAAAGUGUAUAGAUUAAGAAGCAAGAAAUAUAAAACUGAAUUUGAUAAGUUGUUUUAUUUUACACCUAAAUAUAUGCAAAAAAAAUAAAAUUAUAGAGGUACCCCGUUUCAACAUUGUCAUGGGACAUCACUAUGCUAUCGAUAUCGACAUCGACACAAGGUCGGAUUGUGUCCCAACACUUUUUGCGACACUAGCGCUAUGCGGCUACAACGGAACUAACCGUUUACUUUUGCACUGUCCUAUCUGUCUUUAGACUGUAUAUAGUGAUCUGUGGCCGUACCUACCUACCUACACGCGCUUGUUCCGCGUGCGCUUGCGUUUGCCUAUUGUGACCGUUACUCAUUGUAAAUAUAAAUAAUAAUAAAAGUAAA